GGCGUGAGUCGUGGAGCUGACCGGUACUAAUAGGCCGAGGGCUUGACCA
rnacentral:rRNA from 1 species